UGGGGAAUAUUGCACAAUGGGCGCAAGCCUGAUGCAGCCAUGCCGCGUGUAUGAAGAAGGCCUUCGGGUUGUAAAGUACUUUCAGCGGGGAGGAAGGGAGUAAAGUUAAGACCUUUGCUCAUUGACGUUACCCGCAGAAGAAGCACCGGCUAACUCCGUGCCAGCAGCCGCGGUAAUACGGAGGGUGCAAGCGUUAAUCGGAAUUACUGGGCGUAAAGCGCACGCAGGCGGUUUGUUAAGUCAGAUGUGAAAUCCCCGGGCUCAACCUGGGAACUGCGUGUGAUACUGGAAAGCUUGAGUAUGGUAGAGGGGGGUAGAAUUCCAGGUGUAGCAGUGAAAUGCGUAGAGAUCAGGAGGAAUACCGGUGGCGAAGGCGGCCCCCUGGACGAAGACUGACGCUCAGGUGCGAAGGCGUGGGGAGCAAACAGG
rnacentral:rRNA from 1 species